AUUUAAGCGUGUCCCAGCCUGACAAGAAGGUCCAUAUGGUCUUUCAGUGAGGCGCGUGGAGCGGUGAUUUAUGACUGUCACCAGCCCAGCGCUGUCUCCGAGACAUUCAAGGACCGCGUGGGCUGGACACUCACCUUCGGUGGCAGGGCCACCGAGUCACACUCCACUCUCAGCUGCAGAGAGUUCCUGACCAGAUGACGCCAACAACUGUAAGGUCCUUGGGAAAGAGCCGCCAUAUUGUGACGAUACUCAAGAGCCCCAUGGAAAAUUCCACAUGAAGAGGAACUGAGGCCUCCAGCCAACAGCCAGCAACUACUUGCUCACCACAUGAAUGAGCCAUCUUGGAAGCAGACUCUCCCACCCCAGUUAAGCCUUCAAAUGACUCUAGCCCUGCCAACAUCUUGACAAAAGGCUCAGGAGAGAUGCCAACCUAGAACCACCCAGCUAAGCUGCUCCUGAAUUUCCUGAAUCACAGAAACUAUGGGCAAUAACAAAUAGUUAUUAUUAUUUGAAUCCCUUAAGUUUUGAGGAAAUUUGUGAUGCAGCCAUAGAUAAUGAAUAAAAGGAGUUUCCGUUCAGGUAGACAUUCCUUGAGCUUUGAUCUUUACUUGACCCUAGGAAGCAGGUGUUUCACCGAGCCUCCCACCUUAUAGUCCUUUUCCCUGUACCUGCCUUGUCUUUUCCAUCUAGUUCUUCUUGUCUAUGCCACUUUACUUGUGAUUUUCUCUAUUUGGGGCCAUCUAGGGAUGUUUUUUAGAGCAAGAUGGUCAUGUUUAAUUUUUUAAGCCAAAAACAGCUGUAAUCGCCUUUUAAUUAUACAUACAGGAUAGAGACUGUGAUAUGGUUAGGCUGUGUCCCCACCCAAAUCCCAUCUUGAAUUGUAAUAAUCCCCAUGUGUCAAGGCAGGGCCAGGAGAAGAUAAUUGAAUCAUGGGGGCAGUUUCCCCCAUACUGUUCUCGUGAUAGUGAAUGCAUCUCACGAGUUCUGAGUAUUUUAUAAAGGGUAGUUCCCCUGCACAUGCUCUCUUGCCUGCCGCCAAGUAAGAUGUGACUUUGCUCCACAUUCGCCUUCUGCCAUGAUUGUGAGGCCUCCCCAACCAUAUGAAACUGUGAGUCAAUUAAAUCUCUUCCCUUUAUAAAUUAGUCUUGGGUAUGUCUUUAUUAUCAGUGUGAGAACAGACUAAUAAUACAGGCUGGAAGGGGCAAGGACAGAGAAAAGCUCAUAAUUAAACCUCUGAGUCAGAGAGGGGUACAUCCUGGCAGAAAGCCAAUUCCUAAACUGACCACUCCUUGUCUAACUUGGGCGUUAAGUAGGACUUUUUGUUAUUAAGAUGGUGAACUUUUAGAAUGUUAUUUUUAUCAUUUGCCUGCCAAAAUAGAUUCUAUCUUCUUGCCCCUUUGGGAUACAUCGUUGGAAUAAUGGCCUCCAAUUAAUUCAUGCCUGCCUGUACCCGUGCCCUGAGUAGCCCCCUCCUUGACUGAUUCUGGGCUUGGCCAUGUGUUUGACUUUGGCCAAUGAAAGAAUGGCAAGUGUGGCACCAUCAGAGGCUUCGAAAGUGCUUGUGUACUAGGAGCCCUGAAACUACCUUGAGAAGAAGCCCAGGUCACCUCCUGGAGGAUGAGAAGCAACAUGGAGCAGAGAUGGGCCAUCUCAGCUGCAAUUCUAGACCAACAAGCCUGCCACCUGCCAGAAGGCAAGCGAAGCCACCCCAGAGCCCCAGCGCCAGCCGAGCCAACAGCUUGCCAU
rnacentral:lncRNA from 1 species